rnacentral:rRNA from 1 species
GAUGAACGCUGGCGGCGUGCUUAACACAUGCAAGUCGAACGGAAAGGCCACAGCUUGCUGUGGUACUCGAGUGGCGAACGGGUGAGUAACACGUGGGUGAUCUGCCCUGUACUUCGGGAUAAGCUUGGGAAACUGGGUCUAAUACCGGAUAGGAAUCACAUGUGGGUGUGUGGUUGGAAAGCUUUUGCGGUAUGGGAUGAGCUCGCGGCCUAUCAGCUUGUUGGUGGGGUAAUGGCCUACCAAGGCGUCGACGGGUAGCCGGCCUGAGGGGGCGACCGGCCACACUGGGACGGAGACACGGCCCAGACUCCUACGGGAGGCAGCAGUGGGGAAUAUUGCGCAAUGGGCGAAAGCCUGACGCAGCGACGCCGCGUGAGGGACGAAGGUCUUCGGAUUGUAAACCUCUUUCAGCAGGGAUGAAGCGAAAGUGACAGUACCUGCAGAAGAAGCACCGGCUAACUACGUGCCAGCCGCCGCCGUAACAC